rnacentral:rRNA from 1 species
UACGAAGGGGGCUAGCGUUGCUCGGAAUCACUGGGCGUAAAGCGCACGUAGGCUGAUCGUUAAGUCAGGGGUGAAAUCCUGGAGCUCAACUCCAGAACUGCCUUUGAUACUGGCGACCUUGAGUUCGGGAGAGGUGAGUGGAACUGCGAGUGUAGAGGUGAAAUUCGUAGAUAUUCGCAAGAACACCAGUGGCGAAGGCGGCUCACUGGCCCGAUACUGACGCUGAGGUGCGAAAGCGUGGGGAGCAAACAGG